rnacentral:rRNA from 1 species
GAUAGGUGAAGAAGUCUGGAAUGAAUCUUCGCUCAAAAGACGUUUAUGUCAUGCUCAUAUUCGUCGCCCAGGGAUGGGGCCGCGACCGAUCAGGUAGUUGGUGAGGCAAUGGCUCACCAAGCCUUUUACCGGUGCGGGCCGUGAGAGCGGGAGCCCGGAGAUGGGCACUGAGACAAGGGCCCAGGCCCCACGGGGCGCAGCAGUCGCGAAAACUUUGCAAUACACGAAAGUGUGACAGGGCUAUCCCGAGUGCCAUCCGCUGAGGAAGGCUUUUACCCAGUAUAAAUAGCUGGGAGAAUAAGGAGAGGGCAAGUCUGGUGUCAGCCGCCGCGGUAAUACCAGCUCUCCGAGUAGUGUGGACGUUUAUUGGGCCUAAAGCAUCCGUAGCUUGCUAGAUAAGUCCUCUGUUAAAUCCACCGAUUCAAUCGUUGGAUUGCGGGGGAUACUGUUUGGCUAGGGGACGGGAGAGGUCGACGGUAUUUCCGGGGUAGGGGUGAAAUCCUAUAAUCCCGGGAAGACCACCAGUGGCGAAGGCUGUCGACUAGAACGCGCCCGACGGUGAGGGAUGAAAGCUGGGGGAGCGAACCGGAUUAGAUACCCGGGUAGUCCCAGCUGUAAACGAUGCAGGCUAGGUGUUUGGGCGGCCACGAGCCGCCCUAGUGCCGCAGGGAAGCUGUUAAGCCUGCCGCCUGGGGAGUACGGCCGCAAGGCUGAAACUUAAAGGAAUUGGCGGGGGAGCACCACAAGGGGUGAAGCUUGCGGUUUAAUUGGAUUCAACGCCGGG